rnacentral:rRNA from 1 species
GAUGAACGCUGGCGGCGUGCCUAAUACAUGCAAGUCGAGCGAACGGACGAGAAGCUUGCUUCUCUGAUGUUAGCGGCGGACGGGUGAGUAACACGUGGAUAACCUACCUAUAAGACUGGGAUAACUUCGGGAAACCGGAGCUAAUACCGGAUAAUAUUUUGAACCGCAUGGUUCAAAAGUGAAAGACGGUCUUGCUGUCACUUAUAGAUGGAUCCGCGCUGCAUUAGCUAGUUGGUAAGGUAACGGCUUAUCAAGGCAACGAUGCAUAGCCGACCUGAGAGGGUGAUCGGCCACACUGGAGCUGAGACACGGUCCAGACUCCUACGGGAGGCAGCAGUAGGGAAUCUUCCGCAAUGGGCGAAAGCCUGACGGAGCAACGCCGCGUGAGUGAUGAAGGUCUUCGGAUCGUAAAACUCUGUUAUUAGGGAAGAACAUAUGUGUAAGUAACUGUGCACAUCUUGACGGUACCUAAUCAGAAAGCCACGGCUAACUACGUG